GUCGUAACAAGGUUUCCGUGGGUGAACCUGCGGAAGGAUCAUUACCUAGAGUUUGUAGACUUCGGUCUGCUACCUCUUACCCAUGUCUUUUGAGUACCUUCGUUUCCUCGGCGGGUCCGCCCGCCGAUUGGACAACAUUCAAACCCUUUGCAGUUGCAAUCAGCGUCUGAAAAAACAUAAUAGUUACAACUUUCAACAACGGAUCUCUUGGUUCUGGCAUCGAUGAAGAACGCAGCGAAAUGCGAUAAGUAGUGUGAAUUGCAGAAUUCAGUGAAUCAUCGAAUCUUUGAACGCACAUUGCGCCCCUUGGUAUUCCAUGGGGCAUGCCUGUUCGAGCGUCAUUUGUACCUUCAAGCUCUGCUUGGUGUUGGGUGUUUGUCUCGCCUCUGCGUGUAGACUCGCCUUAAAACAAUUGGCAGCCGGCGUAUUGAUUUCGGAGCGCAGUACAUCUCGCGCUUUGCACUCAUAACGAUGACGUCCAAAAGUACAUUUUUACACUCUUGACCUCGGAUCAGGUAGGGAUACCCGCUGAACUUAAGCAUAUCA
rnacentral:rRNA from 1 species